rnacentral:rRNA from 1 species
UACGAAGGGGGCCAGCGUUGCUCGGAAUCACUGGGCGUAAAGCGCACGUAGGCGGCUUCUUAAGUCAGGGGUGAAAUCCUGGGGCUCAACCCCAGAACUGCCCUUGAUACUGAUGAGCUUGAGUCCGGGAGAGGUGAGUGGAACUGCGGGUGUAGAGGUGAAAUUCGUAGAUAUUGGGAGGAACACCAGUGGCGAAGGCGGCGCACUGGACCGGUACUGACGCUGAGGUGCGAAAGCCUGGGGAGCAAACAGG